GUGAGGAUCCCGAAGCAGAGCUCACAAGCGCGAUGCUGUGCCCUCUGGGCUUUGUAGUCCGUUCGCGUUGAGCGCUCUCUGAUCCAGUUCGCACUCUCCAGCUGGCAGCCUGGCCCUAGGCUUUGAAUGCUUGUACAUGGCCUGGGAUUUAGCACUUUAUAAUUGUUCCUGUGGAUCCUGCGCUGUUCUAGAGAAAAUUUCCUUGGAGAGAGGAGAAUCUUUUGAUUAAGUAUAUACUUAAAAUUACCCCCCCCCUUUUGCACUAGAGCCAUUCUACAUUUAUUUCUGUACAAUCACAGGGAACUAAAAGCUGGUGAGCCAUUCAGAGUUACAGAGAAUAGUGUGUAUUUCCUAGCAUUUAUGCUCAGUUCUGCAGAGAAAUGCAUUUUAAUUCUUGGAAACCCAUAAAUUCUCAAUUCUGUAGUACCCUCUAUUUUUGUUGCAUAUUUUUUUCUUUUUCUUCUUUUUUUCAUCUUAGGAGAGAGUGGUUUGUUGCUCAGCGUUGCCUCACGAGUAAAAAUGUAACAUUAAACCUUCAUCAAUAAGUUUUGAAUGUGAAGUUUGAAGCCAUGUGUGGCAGUGUUCAUUUGCAAUCCUAUCAUUUGGGAGGCUAGAAUAAGGGUUAUGUGUAGAACAGAGAUAGGCUAGGUGGUGUUUCAGUAAAAAGAAAUUCAAAAUAACAGUGUUUUAAUACAAAACUUUAUUUUUUACUAUGUUAUCUCCAUAGUUUAGAAUGAGAAGAUGGAAGAAUUGUUCCAUGCACAUUCAGGUCCUGUCAACCACCAUGACAAGAGAAAGGUGACAAAGAAUUAUGGCCUAUUCUCAGAAGCUUCUGACCAAAUUAACAUUUCAACGAUAGCAUGUGGUCAUGCUAACUUCAAAAGAAUGACGCAUUAAAUAACUUUGAGAGCCUAACAAACUACUUACCAGCUUAAAAUAUCAACUAUGGAAUAGUGAGGUGGCUCAGUAGAUGAAGGUACUUGCCACCAAGCCUAACAAUCUGACUUUGGUAUUUGGGACCUCCCAUAGUGGAAGAAGAGAACUGACUCCAAGUUUUCCUCUGAUCUCCCUCCACAUACAUACUGCUGCGCAAGCAUGUACAUCUACACAUACAUGUGCUUUUACAUACACACACAAUAAAUAAAUAAAAUGUAAAAACAUUUAACAUUUAGUUACUGAUUCUAUGAAAUAAUUUGUCCUAGGCUUGGCUGGACCUUUAUGUGGCUUUGACUGGGGCUUUGUGGCCAGCUGUUUGACAGUUAGACAGUUGCUUUUCUGAGGGAUAUCUAUCAGCUGGAUCACAGAAACCAAUCUCCCUACUCUUCAAGGGGCUACCCCUGACUUUUCACAUGGUUCCUGUUACAGGGUUCAAAGAGCAGCAUGAAGGCUAGACCAUAUUCCUAAGCAUUUUUUAAAGUCUCAACAUGGAUCAUUUUAGGUCCCAAUGGAUAAAACAAGUAACAUGGCUAAGUCCAGUGUCAAUAUGGGUAAUAUAUUAUGCCAUAAAUAGAAAUAUGUGUAAGUCACAUGAAAAGGGGGAAUUACGUGUUUCUCCCAAAUAAAGGGGAAAUGCAAAGAGGAAUAGAACAAAUCUCUAUUGGUGAGAAAAAG
rnacentral:lncRNA from 1 species